CAGGAGUAAUUGGCCAAAUUGCUUGAACAGAACCUUUUCCAAAACUUUUUUCACCAACAAUAAUUGCUCUUUUAUGAUCUUGCAAAGAACCACUAACGAUUUCACUUGCACUAGCACUUCCUGGAUCAAUUAAAACAACCAUUGGAAUAUCUUUAUAAGUUCCGAAACUAUGAGCUUUAAAUUCUUUUAUAUCCUCUUUAUUUCGACCUCGUUGAGAAACAAUAAUUCCGUCAUCAACAAAUAAAUCAACCAAACCAACUGCUUGACUUAAAAGACCACCUGGGUUA
rnacentral:ncRNA from 1 species